rnacentral:piRNA from 1 species
UGCUCAGCUGAUCUGCAUGACAAGCCUU